CCUACGGGGAGCAGCAGUGAGGAAUAUUGGUCAAUGGGCGCGAGCCUGAACCAGCCACGCAGCGUGAAUGAUGACUGCCCUACGGGCUGUAAACUUCUUUUAUAAAGGAAUAAAGUUAGGCACGUGACCCUUUUUGUCUUUACUUUAUGUAUACAGAACGGCUAACCCCGUGCCAGCAGCCGCGGUACUACGGAGGAUCCGAGCGUUAUACGGAUUUAUUGGGUUUAAAGUGAGCGUAGAUGGGUUGUUAAGUCAGUUGUGAAAGUUUACGGCUCAACCGUAAAAUUGCAAUUGAUACUGGCAGUCUUGAGUACAGUUGAGGAAAGCGGAAUUCGUGGUGUAGCGGUGAAAUGCGUAGAGAUAACGAAGAACUCCGAUUGCGAAGGCAGCUUACUAAACUGCCACUGACAUUGAUGCGCGAAAGUGUGGGUAUCAAACAGGAUUAGAUACCCCUGUAGUC
rnacentral:rRNA from 1 species